rnacentral:rRNA from 1 species
UACGUAGGGCGCAAGCGUUAUCCGGAAUUAUUGGGCGUAAAGAGUUCGUAGGCGGUUUGUCGCGUCGUUUGUGAAAACCCGGGGCUCAACUUCGGGCUUGCAGGCGAUACGGGCAGACUUGAGUGUUUCAGGGGAGACUGGAAUUCCUGGUGUAGCGGUGAAAUGCGCAGAUAUCAGGAGGAACACCGGUGGCGAAGGCGGGUCUCUGGGAAACAACUGACGCUGAGGAACGAAAGCGUGGGUAGCAAACAGG